AUGAAGGAAGGAUAUAUCUUCAGUGUUUGAGCUGCUAAUCCAAUUUUUUUAGAACAAUUGGAUUCAAUAAGAUAUUUUAAAAGAUAACAUUUGCAUGUACACCCACUUUUUAUUUUUACACUUUUAUGAUCUCUUCUGACUGCUUUGGAAUUUCUGUGAAUUUCUGUGAAAUUCCAACACAUUCAUUGUGAGUAUUUCAUAAAGCUUUAACAACUUCAAGAUCUGGAAUGAUGCCACUAUCAUAUUUCCUACCUUUAUCUUCCU